GUCAGUGAUGAAAACUGUGAAUAGGAAGUGCCGUCUGAUGCGACAACUGACGAUGUUUUUCAUAACUCACUGUUCUGAGC